AAGUCGUAACAAGGUUUCCGUAGGUGAACCUGCGGAAGGAUCAUUAACACGUAUCCACGUAUUCACAUCCGUGAACCACGUUGAAAAAGGCGAAGCGAGAGUGGAACGACAAUCGCGAGCCGAACGUUUUACACACCUUUCACAUCAAUUUUGCUAGUUGACUUUAUUACUGUUGUAUCUUCGUUUUUCGUCGAUGCAUCCGUUUCAUUAUUUGAACGUAAAUAAACAACUCUUAGCAAUGGAUAUCUUGGUUCUC
rnacentral:misc_RNA from 1 species